AGUGCCACCAGCUGCUGUCACACGUCCUGUGUCACCAAUGUCACCACGGCAGUGCCACCGGCUGCUGUCACACGUCCCGUGUCACCAAUGUCACCAGCGAUGGCACCAGCUGCUGUCACACGUCCCGUGUCCCCAGCAGGGCGCUGGCACUGCUGUCACGCUGUGCCCACGGUGACGGGCGCUGCCGCGCGUCUCCGGCGCCACCCCCGCGGGCACGUCACGUGCCCUGUGUCACCGCCGUGUCCCCUGGUGACACUGGUGACACUGGUGACACUGGGGUGACACUGGUGACACUGGUGACACUGGGGUGACACUGGUGACACUGGUGACACUGGGGUGACACUG
rnacentral:lncRNA from 12 species